GUGUCAGCCGCCGCGGUAAUACGUAGGAGGCAAGCGUUAUCCGGAUUUAUUGGGCGUAAAGAGCGCGUAGGCGGCUUAAUAAGUCGGAUGUGAAAUCUCCCGGCUUAACCGGGAGGGGUCAUUCGAUACUGUUAGGCUAGAGGACAGCAGAAGGAGAUGGAAUUCCCGGUGUAGUGGUGAAAUGCGUAGAUAUCGGGAGGAACACCAGUGGCGAAGGCGGUCUUCUAGGCUGUUACUGACGCUGAGGUGCGAAAGCGUGGGGAGCGAACAGGAUUAGAUACCCUGGUAGUCCACGCUAUAAACUGUGGACACUAGGUAUGGGGAGUAUCGACCCUCUCUGUGCCGAAGCUAACGCUUUAAGUGUCCCGCCUGGGGACUACGGCCGCAAGGCUAAAACUCAAAUGAAUUGACGGGG
rnacentral:rRNA from 1 species